AUGCAUGCGCCCAUAGCGAAAACUUUCAGGCAUGUUAAAACAGCGGCGAUUAGCUUUUAAUGCAAUCGUCUCUACCUGUAGCAUGGCACA
rnacentral:snoRNA from 1 species